rnacentral:rRNA from 1 species
CCUACGGGAGGCAGCAGUGAGGAAUAUUGGUCAAUGGGCGGAAGCCUGAACCAGCCAAGUAGCGUGAAGGAUGACGGCCCUACGGGUUGUAAACUGCUUUUAUAAAGGAAUAAAGUGAGCCACGUGUGCCUUUUUGUAUGUACGUUAUGAAUAAGGAUCGGCUAACUCCGUGCCAGCAGCCGCGGUAAUACGGAGGAUCCGAGCGUUAUCCGGAUUUAUUGGGUUUAAAGGGAGCGUAGGUUGGUUUGUAAGUCAGUGGUGAAACGUUGCGGCUCAACCGUAGAACUGCCAUUGAUACGGGAAGACUUGAGUACAGUUGCGGCAGGCGGAAUUUGUGGUGUAGCGGUGAAAUGCUUAGAUAUUACGCAGAACUCCGAUUGCGAAGGCAGCUUACUAGACCGGCUCUGACACUGAUGCUCGAAAGUGUGGGUAUCGAACAGGAUUAGAUACCCCUGUAGUC